UCCGUAGGUGAACCUGCGGAAGGAUCAUUACAGAAUGAAAGUGCUUAACUGCAUUUUUUUUACACAUGUGUUUUUCUUUUUUUUUGAAAACUUUGCUUUGGUGGGCCCAUGGCCUGCCAGAGAUUAAACUCAACCAAAUUUUUAUUUAAGUCAACUGAUUAACUAAUAGUCAAAACUUUCAACAACGGAUCUCUUGGUUCUCGCAUCGAUGAAGAACGCAGCGAAAUGCGAUAAGUAAUAUGAAUUGCAGAUAUUCGUGAAUCAUCGAAUCUUUGAACGCACAUUGCGCCCUUUGGUAUUCCAAAGGGCAUGCCUGUUUGAGCGUCAUUUCUCCCUCAAACCUUCGGGUUUGGUGUUGAGCGAUACGCUGGGUUUGCUUGAAAGAAAGGCGGAGUAUAAACUAAUGGAUAGGUUUUUUUUCCACUCAUUGGUACAAACUCCAAAAUUCUUCCAAAUUCGACCUCAAAUCAGGUAGGACUACCCGCUGAACUUAAGCAUAUCAAUAAGCGGAGGAAAAGA
rnacentral:sRNA from 1 species